rnacentral:rRNA from 1 species
AUUGAACGCUGGCGGCAGGCUUAACACAUGCAAGUCGAGCGAGCGGCAGACGGGUGAGUAAUGUCUGGAACACUCCCUGUUGGAGGGGGAUAACAACUGGAACCGGUGGCUAUUACCGCAUACCAUCAGUUUUGCCCAGAUGGGAUUAGCUAGUAGGGGGGGUAAUGGUUCACCCGGGCGACGAUCCCGAGCUGGGCUGAGAGGAGGACCAGCCACCCUGGAACGGAGAAACGGUCCAGAUCCCUACGGGAGGAAGCAGUGGGGAACAUUGCACAAUGGGCGCAAGCCUGAUGCAGCCAGGCCGCGUGUGUGAAGAAGGCUUUCGGGUUGUAAAGCACGUUCAGCGAGGAGGCGUUACUCGCAGAGGAAGCACCGGCUAACUACGUGCCAGCCGCCGCGGUAAUUC